GCCAGUGAUGAAAACCUGGAGUAGGAAGUGCCGUCUGAUGCGACAACUGACGAUGUCUCUUGCAUCCUUUUCUGAGU
ensembl:snoRNA small nucleolar RNA SNORD49